GAUGAACGCUGGCGGCGUGCCUAAUACAUGCAAGUCGAGCGAACAGACGAGGAGCUUGCUCUUCUGACGUUAGCGGCGAACGGGUGAGUAAUACGUGGAUAACCUACCUAUAAGACUGGGAUAACUUCGGGAAACCGGGGCUAAUACUGGAUAAUAUAUUGAACCGCAUGGUUCUAUAGUGAAAGACGGUUUUGCUGUCACUUAUAGCUGGCUCCGAGCCGCAUUAGCUAGGUGGUAAGGUAACGGCUUACCAAGGCAACGAUGCGUAGCCGACCUGCAAGGGGGAUCGCCCACACGGGAACUGGACCACGGACCAGACUCCUACGGGAGGCAGCAGUAUGGAAUGUGCGGCAAUAGGCGAAAGCCUGACAGAGCAACGCCGCGUCAGAUAUGAAGGUCUUCGGUGCGGAAAACUCUGUUAUGGGGGAAGAACAAAUGUGUAAAUAACUAUACACGUCUUGACGGUACCUAAACAGAAAGCCACGGCUAACUACGUG
rnacentral:rRNA from 1 species